CACUGUCGCACUUUCAUUUCACGUGACAGAACAGUUCUAUUUGUGUUUCACCAACUUCAGUCUGGCACAACAUACGAUCCGAAGGUUGCAUUGUAAAUUCGCAAGUUUUUCCUCAAACCCUCAAAAAUCACACAAUCCUCAAUCCCUCCGUCGAGUGUGCAGUGCUAGUGAGUGCUUGAACCAUGUUUCCCUCACCGGAUCUCCUCACACAGCAAGUUGUUAUGUGAUUUCGCUACAUCAUAAUGGGUGGCCAUGUUUGGCAGAAGGAGACGCAGGUCGUCCACCAUCCGUGUGAUGCAGCUAUUCCAUGAGCUAAAACAGCAAUUUCCCACCGUUCCCGACCACGUGGUAAACGCCUGUAUCGCCUCCUACGCCCAUUCAAACUCCCCCCACAAAGACACCACCAUCCGGGAGUUACUGGAAGCGGCAGCCCAAAACCAAGAGCCGAUGGGCCGUUCUCCUCCUCCUCCAUCUCAACCUUCACCGCCCCCAUCCCACCCUCCAGCAACCGCCGAACGAACAAGCGAAAUGAACGCGAGUGCGAGUGACAUAAAUCAGAAUGUUGUCAAAUACACUAAAAAGCACGAAUCGGUGAGUGUGUGCACGGAAUCAAAAAGUAAGUUUUUUGUCAAAAGACCGGACACUUUGGAACUUCAACCAUCAGAAAAAUGCAAAGACGUUCACAAACUCUUAAAUUCGGAUAAACCGCCACGGUCACCCAAACGGGGCACUCCUCGACUCAAAAGACUGCAAGAUGAAGGCAAGAAAGAGACAGCGUCGACUCCCACCCAAACCACUGACACUCUUCGUGGGGGCGCCAACAGUGUCAAUCUCUCCCUCAACAUCAACCUCCUCCCGAGCCCCACCACGCGGCGCAAAUCCGUCCUCCAGGUCACCCCCCAGCAGCCCUGGCUCCAGGAGCCCCUCAGUCCGAGGAGUUACACCAGUGUUAACCUCACUCUGCGUCCCCCUUCGUCCGAACCACAGCCCCCUAUUGACAUAACCUCCCAGAACUCGAGUCUGACUUACUCCACGAGCAGUUUUGAUUCGCAAAAGGGACUCCAGAGUCGGCUUCAGAUCACAGUUGGGCCCGGGGGUGGGAGUGUUUCGUCGACACGGGCGAGGCCCCGGAGUAGUUAUCACCCGGAGCAAGCCGUCGAGGAGGUGGUGCCGUACAGGGCCGGCUCCUUGACUAAUCUUGCGACGAGCAGCGAACCCCCCGUGAUACUGAAACAACAGGCCCGAAUCGACCGUUUGAAAAUCGAGCUAAGAUCGGAGAAAGCCAAACUGGAGGUGAUGCAAAAAGAGGUGACCGAUUUGGAAGACCGCAACCGCCCCCUUGCCAUCCAACCCACCGAUGCGGAAGUGGAAAAACAGCUGCGACGAGAAAUCAAGCAUUUGCAGUAUCAAUGCGAACAGCUAGCCCUCGAAGUGGACAAAAAUAGUGAUUUGCAGGAAGACUUCUAUCAUAACAUUUAUACGGGUCAGAGGGGCCCUUUGAAUCUAGACGGCCGUCGCUACACCCAGCCCACUGCGUUUCAAGACAACGAAGGUCCGAAAUGGAAUUGUCACUUGUGUACAUUCCUUAAUCAUCCAGACUUGGAUAAAUGUGAACAGUGCGAAAUGGCGAGGAUAUUACACGUUUCUGCAGCUCCAGGUGAUAAUAUUCACAUUCAUGUAACUCCAAGACUAUCUAGACGUAAGAUAUUGCGUGUUGUGUGAUUUUACUAGAGCUUUUAACCUGCAUGUGUAGUGUGUGCGAAAAACUAAACGCAAGGUGUCGUACACUCUUGGGUUUUAUAAUAGGAACAGGUAAUUAAGAGAAUGACGAACUGCUAUUUUUUUAUUUUCUUUACAAAUUUGUUAAACCAAACAAAUAAUUGCUCACUUAAGAUGUGUAAAUGAUUAGGCGACAUUUUGUUAAGUUUGUGAAUGUACAUAUUUUAUUGUAAAUUAAGACAAAAAAAUGCUUAUUUUGAUAAAA